UUCCACUGGGGGGAUGGAGGUCUCUGGAAGGCAGGGAGGUUCCUAAGCAGUGACUCCUGGAGGGGAGGGAGGCCUCAAAGUCCCCAGGCAUGGUUGUUGAGGGAUGAAGCCAUAGUGGGAGGAACUGAGGGGGUGCUUCCAGGUCCCCGGAAGUAGCAGACCCAGGCAGGGGUGCUAAGAUAGCCAACUGUGAUAUGGAGGGACAUAUGGGAGAGGCUCUUGGAACCUGGAGAGGCCUGGGGACAGGAGGGGUGGUGGCCAAUCAUGUAUGUGUGGGCCCCUCUCCCCCGCAGCAGCCUCCCUGGCAUGGGGGUGAAGAGGAGCCUUCAGAGCGGUGGCACCCUACUGGGUUUCUUGGCCAACAUCUUCAUGCUUCUCUCCACUGCCACCAACUACUGGAUCCGCUUCCCGGGGGGACACAGCGGCCUGUGGCAGGAUUGUAACGGUGGCAUCUGCUCUAACAUCCCCUGCCAGAGUGAGGCCCAGCCCAACCAGAUGUCAAACCCCCACUACACAGACCCAGAACUGACCACAGCUGUCCACCCUCCCCUGACACAGCUGGGAACAUCCUGCGGGGGGGGGGGGAGGGGGCGUUCAAUCCCUUCCACGACGGUCUCAGAUCCAGCUGCCCCUCCGUGAUCGAAGCCACCACGAACACGACAAGCCCUCAGGACGACUUUCAAGUCCCUAUCCAAACCCCUGACUCUGCGGCCAGCCGGUACCGGCUGGUGGGGGCGGUGGUCAGGCACGGCGUCUGCGCGGGGCUGAGGCAGCCGGCUCUCCCCAGCCAUGCUGGCGGUGACCGGGGCAUGCAUGGUGCUGGCGGCGGGCUCCAGCAUCGUGGGCCUGGUGAUGGGGCUGCGGAUUGUGUGUCACGAGGGCGACUCGCGGGGCCGGACUACGAGCGCUAUCUUCUUCCUCUGCGGUGAGACAGCAGCAGGCCUCCCGACAAAGGGCAGGGUUCCGCAGGAAGUGAGCUGAGGGGAGGAGCUGGUGACCCAGAAGGGUGUGCAGAGCUGGAAGGGGAGGGGUCAAGGGCGGCCCUCAGGCGAUGGGCGUGGUCUUGUCUAGCGGGGACCGCCCGGAAGGGGCGUGGUCUGGGCGGUGAGCGGGGUUCUGGGUGGGGCCUAGGUGCAGCCUCUCCGGGCCAUGCUUACCUAGCGGGUGGGCGGGGCCAGGCUUGCUGCUGCUGAUUGCUUUGACAGGCUACACCGUAAAGAAUGCGUGGAAAAGCGACGUCUUCUUCUCCUGGUCCUAUUUUUCGGGGUGGCUGGCUUUACCAUUCUGUAUUCUCGCCGGGGACCUUCCCCACCAUACUCCACUCCCGACAUUCACAGACCCUGCAGAGACUCCUUGGAGCCCCAAACCCCAGGCUCUGAGGCCCUCCCGGUCAUCCGCCCCAGGACCCACCGCCCCCCACCCGUCCUCCUCUCCCCUCCCGUCAGGCUUCUGCUUCCUGAUGGCGGACAUGAUCGUGCAGAGUACAGAUGCCAUCGGUGGUUUUCCCGUGUGCUUGUGACAGUAGCCUGCCUGGGGCAGAAUAAAGGAACAGG